rnacentral:rRNA from 1 species
GAUGCAGCCAUGCCGCGUGUAUGAAGAAGGCCUUCGGGUUGUAAAGUACUUUCAGCAGUGAGGAAGGGGGAGGCGUUAAUAGCGGAUUCGUUUGACGUUAGCUGCAGAAGAAGCACCGGCUAACUCCGUGCCAG